rnacentral:rRNA from 1 species
UACGAGUGGCCCAAGCGUUAUCCGGAAUUAUUGGGCGUAAAGGGUGUGUAGGUGGUCGUAUUAGUCCGGUGUCUAACCUCUGAGCUCAACUUGGAGACAGCAUUGGAAACGGUACGGCUAGAGUAUGUUAGGGGUAAGCGGAACUCAUAGUGUAGGGGUGAAAUCCGUUGAUAUUAUGGGGAACACCAAAAGCGAAGGCAGCUUACUGGAACAUUACUGACGCUGAGGAGCGAAAGCGUGGGGAGCGAACAGG